rnacentral:sRNA from 1 species
UGGCCUUAGCACUAGUGGCCUUAUAUCA